rnacentral:rRNA from 1 species
ACGAACGCUGGCGGCACGCUUAACACAUGCAAGUCGAACGAGAGAAGAGGAGCUUGCUUUUCUGAUCUAGUGGCGGACGGGUGAGUAACACGUGAGCAAUCUGCCUUUCAGAGGGGGAUACCGAUUGGAAACGAUCGUUAAUACCGCAUAACAUAAUUGAACCGCAUGAUUUGAUUAUCAAAGAUUUAUCGCUGAAAGAUGAGCUCGCGUCUGAUUAGCUAGUUGGUAAGGUAACGGCUUACCAAGGCGACGAUCAGUAGCCGGACUGAGAGGUUGAUCGGCCACAUUGGGACUGAGACACGGCCCAGACUCCUACGGGAGGCAGCAGUGGGGAAUAUUGCACAAUGGAGGAAACUCUGAUGCAGCGAUGCCGCGUGAGGGAAGAAGGUUUUAGGAUUGUAAACCUCUGUCUUCAGGGACGAAAAAAGACGGUACCUGAGGAGGAAGCUCCGGCUAACUACGUGCCAGCAGCCGCGGUAAUACGUAGGGAGCGAGCGUUGUCCGGAAUUACUGGGUGUAAAGGGAGCGUAGGCGGGAUCGCAAGUCAGAUGUGAAAACUAUGGGCUUAACCCAUAAACUGCAUUUGAAACUGUGGUUCUUGAGUGAAGUAGAGGUAAGCGGAAUUCCUAGUGUAGCGGUGAAAUGCGUAGAUAUUAGGAGGAACAUCAGUGGUGAAGGCGGCUUACUGGGCUUUAACUGACGCUGAGGCUCGAAAGCGUGGGGAGCAAACAGGAUUAGAUACCCUGGUAGUCCACGCCGUAAACGAUGAUUACUAGGUGUGGGGGGACUGACCCCUUCCGUGCCGCAGCAAACGCAAUAAGUAAUCCACCUGGGGAGUACGACCGCAAGGUUGAAACUCAAAGGAAUUGACGGGGGCCCGCACAAGCAGUGGAGUAUGUGGAUUAAUUCGAAGCAACGCGAAGAACCUUACCAGGUCUUGACAUCGUAUGCAUAGCUCAGAGAUGAGUGAAAUCUCUUCGGAGACAUAUAGACAGGUGGUGCAUGGUUGUCGUCAGCUCGUGUCGUGAGAUGUUGGGUUAAGUCCCGCAACGAGCGCAACCCUUACUGUUAGUUGCUACGCAAGAGCACUCUAGCAGGACUGCCGUUGACAAAACGGAGGAAGGUGGGGAUGACGUCAAAUCAUCAUGCCCCUUAUGACCUGGGCCUCACACGUACUACAAUGGCUGUCAACAGAGGGAUGCAAAGCCGCGAGGUGGAGCGAACCCCUAAAAGCAGUCUUAGUUCGGAUUGUAGGCUGCAACCCGCCUACAUGAAGUCGGAAUUGCUAGUAAUCGCAGAUCAGCAUGCUGCGGUGAAUACGUUCCCGGGCCUUGUACACACCGCCCGUCACGCCAUGGGAGUCGGUAACACCCGAAGCCUGUAGUCUAACCGCAAGGAGGACGCAGUCGAAGGUGGGAUUGAUGACUGGGGUG